AUAAUCCUGUAGUCGAAAAUGUUGUCUCUCUUGAGUGGAUCCUGAGUACGACGGAGCACGUGAAAUUCCGUCGGAAUCUGGGAGGACCAUCUCCUAAGGCUAAAUACUCUCUAGUGACCGAUAGUGAACCAGUACCGUGAGGGAAAGGUGAAAAGCACCCCGGAAGGGGAGUGAAAUAGAACCUGAAACCGUGUGCUUACAAGUAGUCAGAGCCCGUUAAUGGGUGAUGGCGUGCCUUUUGUAGAAUGAACCGGCGAGUUACGAUUUGAUGCAAGGUUAAGCAGUAAAUGUGGAGCCGUAGCGAAAGCGAGUCUGAAUAGGGCGUUUAGUAUUUGGUCGUAGACCCGAAACCAGGUGAUCUACCCUUGGUCAGGUUGAAGUUCAGGUAACACUGAAUGGAGGACCGAACCGACUUACGUUGAAAAGUGAGCGGAUGAACUGAGGGUAGCGGAGAAAUUCCAAUCGAACCUGGAGAUAGCUGGUUCUCUCCGAAAUAGCUUUAGGGCUAGCCUCAAGUGAUGAUUAUUGGAGGUAGAGCACUGUUUGGACGAGGGGCCCCUCUCGGGUUACCGAAUUCAGACAAACUCCGAAUGCCAAUUAAUUUAACUUGGGAGUCAGAACAUGGGUGAUAAGGUCCGUGUUCGAAAGGGAAACAGCCCAGACCACCAGCUAAGGUCCCAAAAUAUAUGUUAAGUGGAAAAGGAUGUGGCGUUGCCCAGACAACUAGGAUGUUGGCUUAGAAGCAGCCAUCAUUUAAAGAGUGCGUAAUAGCUCACUAGUCGAGUGACACUGCGCCGAAAAUGUACCGGGGCUAAACAUAUUACCGAAGCUGUGGAUUGUCCUUUGGACAAUGGUAGGAGAGCGUUCUAAGGGCGUUGAAGCAUGAUCGUAAGGACAUGUGGAGCGCUUAGAAGUGAGAAUGCCGGUGUGAGUAGCGAAAGACGGGUGAGAAUCCCGUCCACCGAUUGACUAAGGUUUCCAGAGGAAGGCUCGUCCGCUCUGGGUUAGUCGGGUCCUAAGCUGAGGCCGACAGGCGUAGGCGAUGGAUAACAGGUUGAUAUUCCUGUACCACCUAUAAUCGUUUUAAUCGAUGGGGGGACGCAGUAGGAUAGGCGAAGCGUGCGAUUGGAUUGCACGUCUAAGCAGUAAGGCUGAGUAUUAGGCAAAUCCGGUACUCGUUAAGGCUGAGCUGUGAUGGGGAGAAGACAUUGUGUCUUCGAGUCGUUGAUUUCACACUGCCGAGAAAAGCCUCUAGAUAGAAAAUAGGUGCCCGUACCGCAAACCGACACAGGUAGUCAAGAUGAGAAUUCUAAGGUGAGCGAGCGAACUCUCGUUAAGGAACUCGGCAAAAUGACCCCGUAACUUCGGGAGAAGGGGUGCUCUUUAGGGUUAACGCCCAGAAGAGCCGCAGUGAAUAGGCCCAAGCGACUGUUUAUCAAAAACACAGGUCUCUGCUAAACCGUAAGGUGAUGUAUAGGGGCUGACGCCUGCCCGGUGCUGGAAGGUUAAGAGGAGUGGUUAGCUUCUGCGAAGCUACGAAUCGAAGCCCCAGUAAACGGCGGCCGUAACUAUAACGGUCCUAAGGUAGCGAAAUUCCUUGUCGGGUAAGUUCCGACCCGCACGAAAGGCGUAACGAUUUGGGCACUGUCUCAACGAGAGACUCGGUGAAAUCAUAGUACCUGUGAAGAUGCAGGUUACCCGCGACAGGACGGAAAGACCCCGUGGAGCUUUACUGUAGCCUGAUAUUGAAAUUCGGCACAGCUUGUACAGGAUAGGUAGGAGCCUUUGAAACGUGAGCGCUAGCUUACGUGGAGGCGCUGGUGGGAUACUACCCUAGCUGUGUUGGCUUUCUAACCCGCACCACUUAUCGUGGUGGGAGACAGUGUCAGGCGGGCAGUUUGACUGGGGCGGUCGCCUCCUAAAAGGUAACGGAGGCGCUCAAAGGUUCCCUCAGAAUGGUUGGAAAUCAUUCAUAGAGUGUAAAGGCAUAAGGGAGCUUGACUGCGAGACCUACAAGUCGAGCAGGGUCGAAAGACGGACUUAGUGAUCCGGUGGUUCCGCAUGGAAGGGCCAUCGCUCAACGGAUAAAAGCUACCCCGGGGAUAACAGGCUUAUCUCCCCCAAGAGUUCACAUCGACGGGGAGGUUUGGCACCUCGAUGUCGGCUCAUCGCAUCCUGGGGCUGUAGUCGGUCCCAAGGGUUGGGCUGUUCGCCCAUUAAAGCGGUACGCGAGCUGGGUUCAGAACGUCGUGAGACAGUUCGGUCCCUAUCCGUCGUGGGCGUAGGAAAUUUGAGAGGAGCUGUCCUUAGUACGAGAGGACCGGGAUGGACAUACCUCUGGUGUACCAGUUGUCGUGCCAACGGCAUAGCUGGGUAGCUAUGUGUGGACGGGAUAAGUGCUGAAAGCAUCUAAGCAUGAAGCCCCCCUCAAGAUGAGAUUUCCCAACUUCGGUUAUAAGAUCCCUCAAAGAUGAUGAGGUUAAUAGGUUCGAGGUGGAAGCAUGGUGACAUGUGGAGCUGACGAAUACUAAUCGAUCGAAGACUUAAUCAA
rnacentral:rRNA from 1 species